rnacentral:rRNA from 1 species
AGGAUGAACGCUGGCGGCGUGCCUAAUACAUGCAAGUCGAGCGGCAGCGCGAAUAGUUUACUAUUUGGCGGCGAGCGGCGGACGGCUGAGUAACGCGUAGGAACGUACCCCAAAGUGAGGGAUAAGCACCAGAAAUGGUGUCUAAUACCGCAUGCGGUCUAAGGAUUAAAGCUUCGGCGCUUUGGGAACGGCCUGCGUUUGAUUAGCUAGUUGGUGAGGUAAAAGCUUACCAAGGCGACGAUCAAUAGCUGGUCUGAGAGGAUGAUCAGCCAGACUGGGACUGAGACACGGCCCAGACUCCUACGGGAGGCAGCAGUAGGGAAUUUUCCACAAUGGGCGAAAGCCUGAUGGAGCAACGCCGCGUGCAGGAUGAAUGCCUUAGGGUUGUAAACUGCUUUUAUAUGUGACGAUUAUGACGGUAGCAUAUGAAUAAGGAUCGGCUAACUCCGUGCCAGCAGCCGC